rnacentral:rRNA from 1 species
GACGAACGCUGGCGGCGUGCUUAACACAUGCAAGUCGAACGGUGAAGCGCCUUCCUUUUUGGUGGGUGUGGAUGAGUGGCGAACGGGUGAGUAACACGUGAGUAACCUGCCCCCUUCUUCUGGAUAACCGCAUGAAAGUGUGGCUAAUACGGGAUAUUCUGGGUCUGUCGCAUGAUGGGUCUGGGACAGAUAUUGUUUCGGUGGGGGAUGGGCUCGCGGCCUAUCAGCUUGUUGGUGGGGUGAUGGCCUACCAAGGCGGUGACGGGUAGCCGGCCUGAGAGGGUGGACGGCCACACUGGGACUGAGACACGGCCCAGACUCCGACGGGAGGCAGCAGUGGGGAAUAUGGCACAAUGGGCGCAAGCCUGAUGCAGCGACGCCGCGGGAGGGAUGGAGGCCUUCGGGUUGUGAACCUCUUUCGCCAGUGAAGCAGGCCUGCCUCGUUUGUGGGUGGGUUGACGGUAGCUGGAUAAGAAGCGCCGGCUAACUACGUG